GGGCGCUUAGCUCAGCUGGGAGAGCACAUGCCUUACAAGCAUGGGGUCGGCGGUUCGAUCCCGUCAGCGCCCACCA
rnacentral:tRNA from 1 species